rnacentral:sRNA from 1 species
UAAUUUCAUCAGAGAGCCAUGGUGCAGG